rnacentral:rRNA from 1 species
GCAUAUCAAUAAGCGGAGGAAAAGAAACUAACAAGGAUUCCCCUAGUAACGGCGAGUGAAGCGGGAAGAGCUCAAAUUUAAAAUCUGUAAGGUUCAACCUUGCCGAAUUGUAGUUUGAAGAAGUGUUUUCCGCGGCGGCUGCAGUACAAAUCCUUUGGAACAGGGUAUCAGAGAGGGUGAGAAUCCCGUCUUUGACUGCAGACUAGUUGCACUGUGAUACACUUUCUAAGAGUCGAGUUGUUUGGGAAUGCAGCUCAAAAUGGGUGGUAAAUUUCAUCUAAAGCUAAAUAUUGGCAAGAGACCGAUAGCGAACAAGUACCGUGAGGGAAAGAUGAAAAGAACUUUGAAAAGAGAGUUAAAUAGUACGUGAAAUUGUUAAAAGGGAAACGCUUGAAGUCAGUGUUGCCGGCGGAAAAUCAGCUUCGUGCGGAAGGCUUGCUGCGGUGGAGGGAGUGUUAAAACCCCUUGCUGUAGUACAGCCAGCCGGACGGAGUGCACUUUUCCGUCGACAGGUCAACAUCAAUUUCAGCCGGUGGAAAAAAGCCAGUGGAAUGUAGGUUGGAGCAAUCUGACUGUUAUAGCCACUAGUGUAUACACCGGCGGGGAUUGAGGACAGCAGUGCAGGCCACUAUGGCGGAAGCGCUGCUCUUUUCUCCGGGGGGCACGUCAAGACAGCAUGCUGACUUGAUGUGUACACUCUUGGGAACGGGGCGGCUGUACUUCUCCUGCACUAAGGAUGUUGACGAAAUGGCUUUAAACGACCCGUCUUGAAACACGGACCAAGGAGUCUAACAAAUAUGCGAGUAUUUGGGUGGCAAACCCAUAUGCGCAAUGAAAGUGAAUGUAGGUGGGAUCCCAGCAAUGGGAGCACCAUCGACCGAUCUGGAAUAAUUUAUGAUAGAUUUGAGUAAGAGCAUAUCUGUUGGGACCCGAAAGAUGGUGAACUAUGCCUGAAUAGGGUGAAGCCAGAGGAAACUCUGGUGGAGGCUCGUAGCGAUUCUGACGUGCAAAUCGAUCGUCAAAUUUGGGUAUAGGGGCGAAAGACUAAUCAAACCA